AGAGUUUGAUCAUGGCUCAGGAUGAACGCUAGCGGCAGGCUUAAUACAUGCAAGUCGAGGGGUAACAGGUGUAGCAAUACAUGCUGACGACCGGCGCACGGGUGCGUAACGCGUAUGCAACCUACCUUUAACUGGGGAAUAGCCCCGAGAAAUCGGGAUUAAUACCUCAUAACAUUUAUCAGUCGCAUGAUUUGAUAAAUUAAAGCUCCGGCGGUUAGAGAUGGGCAUGCGUGACAUUAGCUAGUUGGUGAGGUAACGGCUCACCAAGGCUGCGAUGUCUAGGGGUUCUGAGAGGACAAUCCCCCACACUGGUACUGAGACACGGACCAGACUCCUACGGGAGGCAGCAGUAAGGAAUAUUGGGCAAUGGACGCAAGUCUGACCCAGCCAUGCCGCGUGCAGGAUGAAGGCCCUAUGGGUUGUAAACUGCUUUUAUACGGGAAGAAACUCUCGCUCGUGAGCGAGACUGACGGUACCGUGUGAAUAAGCACCGGCUAACUCCGUGCCAGCAGCCGCGGUAAUACGGAGGGUGCAAGCGUUAUCCGGAUUCAUUGGGUUUAAAGGGUGCGCAGGCGGAAUGAUAAGUCAGUGGUGAAAUCCUACAGCUCAACUGUAGAACUGCCAUUGAUACUGUCGUUCUUGAGUAUAGUUGAAGUGGGCGGAAUGUAUCAUGUAGCGGUGAAAUGCAUAGAUAUGAUACAGAACUCCGAUAGCGAAGGC
rnacentral:rRNA from 1 species